GGGUGAGUAACGCGUAAGAAUCUACCUUCAGGUCGGGGACAACCACUGGAAACGGUGGCUAAUACCGGAUGUGCCGAGAGGUGAAAGGCUUGCUGCCUGAAGAAGAGCUUGCGUCUGAUUAGCUAGUUGGUAGUGUAAGAGACUACCAAGGCGACGAUCAGUAGCUGGUCUGAGAGGAUGAUCAGCCACACUGGGACUGAGACACGGCCCAGACUCCUACGGGAGGCAGCAGUGGGGAAUUUUCCGCAAUGGGCGAAAGCCUGACGGAGCAAUACCGCGUGAGGGAGGAAGGCUCUUGGGUUGUAAACCUCUUUUCUCAGGGAAGAACAGAAUGACGGUACCUGAGGAAUAAGCAUCGGCUAACUCCGUGCCAGCAGCCGCGGUAAUACGGAGGAUGCAAGCGUUAUCCGGAAUGAUUGGGCGUAAAGAGUCCGUAGGUGGCAUUGAAAGUCUGCUGUUAAAGAGUCUAGCUCAACUAGAUAAGAGCAGUGGAAACUACAAAGCUAGAGUUUGGUCGGGGCAGAAGGAAUUCCUGGUGUAGCGGUGAAAUGCGUAGAUAUCAGGAAGAACACCGGUGGCGAAGGCGUUCUGCUAGGCCGAGACUGACACUGAGGGACGAAAGCUAGGGGAGCGAAUGGGAUUAGAUACCCCAGUAGUCCUAGCUGUAAACGAUGGAUACUAGGCGUAGCUCGUAUCGACCCGAGCUGUGCCGGAGCUAACGCGUUAAGUAUCCCGCCUGGGGAGUACGCAGGCAACUGUGAAACUC
rnacentral:rRNA from 1 species